rnacentral:rRNA from 1 species
CCUACGGGAGGCAGCAGUGAGGAAUAUUGGUCAAUGGCCGGAAGCCUGAACCAGCCAAGCCGCGUGAGGGAAGAAGGUACAGCGUAUCGUAAACCUCUUUUGUCAGGGAACAAAGUCGGGGACUAGUCCCCGGCUGAGGGUACCUGAAGAAAAAGCAUCGGCUAACUCCGUGCCAGCAGCCGCGGUAAUACGGAGGAUGCGAGCGUUAUCCGGAUUUAUUGGGUUUAAAGGGUGCGCAGGCGGCCUGUUAAGUCAGCGGUAAAAGCCCGGGGCUCAACCCCGGCGAGCCGUUGAAACUGGCGGGCUGGAGAUGGAGAGAGGUAUGCGGAAUGCGCGGUGUAGCGGUGAAAUGCUUAGAUAUCGCGCAGAACCCCGAUUGCGAAGGCAGCGUACCGGCGCCAAACUGACGCUGAGGCACGAAAGCGUGGGUAUCGAACAGGAUUAGAUACCCGAGUAGUC